rnacentral:rRNA from 1 species
AUGCUUUACGGCUUAGAACCGGGUCUUCAACGACGUUUUGAAUGUCAUGGAGCAUAUGAGAUGUUCCAGGAGUUGAAGUUAAUAUUUCAAGCAAAUGCCCGGAUUGAGAGAUAUGAAGUCUCCAAUAAGUUCUAUAGCUGCAAGAUGGAAGAGAAUAGUUCUGUCAGUGAGCAUAUACUCAGAAUGUCUGGGUAUAAUAAUCACUUGAUUCAACUAGGAGUUCAACUUCCGGAUGAUUGCGUCGUUGACAGAAUUCUUCAAUCACUGCCACCAAGCUACAAGAGCUUCGUGAUGAACUAUAACAUGCAAGGGAUGGAUAAGACAAUUCCCGAGCUCUUCGCAAUGCUAAAGGCAGCGGAGGUAGAAAUCAAAAAGGAGCAUCAAGUGUUGAUGGUCAGUAAAACCACUAGUUUCAAGAAAAAGGGCAAAGGGAAGAAGAAAUGGAACUUCAAGAAGAACAGCAAGCAAGUUGCUGUUCAGGAGAAGAAAUUCAAAUCUGGACCUAAGCCUGAAACUGAGUGCUUCUACUGUAAGCAGACUGGUCACUGGAAGCGGAAAUGCCUCAAGUAUUUGGCGGAUAAGAAGGAUGGCAAGGUUAACAAAGGGCUACGGCUUAAGCGAAGAUUGGCUAAGGACGAGGUGACGAUGCGCGUGGGAAACGGUUCCAAAGUCGAUGUGAUCACCGUCGGCACGCUACCUCUACAUCUACCUUCGGGAUUAGUUUUAGACCUAAAUAAUUGUUAUUUGGUGGAGCGUUGA